rnacentral:rRNA from 1 species
AGAAUCAACGCUGGCGGCGUGCCUAACACAUGCAAGUCGCACGAGAAAGGGGAGCAAUCCCUGAGUAAAGUGGCGCACGGGUGAGUAACACGUGAAUAAUCUACCUCCGAGUGGGGAAUAACUGAGAGAAAUCUUAGCUAAUACCGCAUAACACUUACGAGUCAAAGCAGCAAUGCGCUUGGAGAGGAGUUCGCGGCCGAUUAGUUAGUUGGCGGGGUAAUGGCCCACCAAGACGAUGAUCGGUAUCCGGCCUGAGAGGGCGCACGGACACACUGGAACUGAAACACGGUCCAGACUCCUACGGGAGGCAGCAGUGGGGAAUUUUGCGCAAUGGGGGAAACCCUGACGCAGCAACGCCGCGUGGAGGAUGAAGCCCUUGGGUGUAAACUCCUUUCGAUCGGGAAGAUAAUGACGGUACCGAUAUAAGAAGCCCCGGCUAACUUCGUGCCAGCAGCCGC